GGUACGGGGGUGGGAAAGGAUUCAGCCGGAAGUUGAUUCAUACACAGCGUAUUGAUGGCGACGAAGACAACGUGGGGAACGCUUUGCGAAAGGCGAAGCUUUCUGCAACGACCAUACACCAAAAACAGGGCGUGGGUCGCUCAUCCCGCGUAGAAAGGGCAAGGCCAUUGUGAGCGAGGGGCCUAUAUCUGAAUUAGAAAAGUGGCGUGUCUACCACUGCUUCAUAGAUUUCUUGAAGAUGACUGCAUAUGAUUCCAUUCUUUGAGUCUCAUCAUCUUUUCUACAUUGUGGCGACCAG